UACGUAGGGUGCGAGCGUUGUCCGGAAUUAUUGGGCGUAAAGAGCUCGUAGGCGGCUUGUCGCGUCGACUGUGAAAACCCGCGGCUCAACUGCGGGCUUGCAGUCGAUACGGGGCAUGACUGGAGUUCGGCAGGGGAGACUGGAAUUCCUGGUGUAGCGGUGAAAUGCGCAGAUAUCAGGAGGAACACCAAUUGCGAAGGCAGCUCGCUGGGACGUUACUGACGCUGAGACGCGAAAGCGUGGGGAGCAAACAGG
rnacentral:rRNA from 1 species